UUGAGUUUUGGUGAGGAUCAUCUGUAUGAUCCACCACAAUGGCACUUUUUGGAGGAUUUUCCACAUAUGGUGGAUGAAAAUGAAGAGUUGCUGCAAAAGUGCAUGUCUGGAAGUGAAAUUGAGAUUCCACAAUUAACUGAUCGUGAAAGGCUCGAGAAGCUACCGCAAUGGCUUUUAAACCUUAAGUCUUUGAGAAAGCUAUUUAUUGCAAGCUGCCUAAGA
rnacentral:misc_RNA from 1 species